UUUGGUCAUCUUUACCGAUUGCAUUUAUCAUUCUGGUUAUCAUGCAUUCAUCUUCUCUAUUUCCCUCUCUCGAACCCGCGCUAGGGUUUUUCAUGCCCUCGCUCUGACUUCUGCUUCUUCUUCUUUCUCUUUUCACCUGGGCAUCUCCUUCUCCUUUCCCCUCUCUGUUUUCACCGAAACAUUCAUCAUUCCCUCUUCUUCCAUUCAUUCUGACCUUUUCGUUUUUUCUCCAUUUGCAGCUAUCUCACGAUGGCUCGCUUGAAACAAACUGCGCGCAUCAUUGCCCCAUCCUCUGGUGCACAGCCUUCCGCGAGUGCGCCAUCCUCUGGCGCACAGCCUUCCGCGAGUGCGCCAGCUCCACCACCGCCUGUGGCUACCUCCUACCACGACAAUGCCAGAGUCUACGAAUGGGCUCCCUUGGCAUUGCUCGCUGAAAC
rnacentral:lncRNA from 1 species